UAUUUGUAAAGUGAACAAGUCUGAAAUUCUGACCAGUUAAAAACCAAACAGCUUGAGUAUAGGGGCAAUCAAUGAGCAUGUGUCUAAGGCUCUCACAGUUGAAGCUACACAUGGGGCAUUCUCUAGUAGGUAUGGUGACAUGCCGACCUAUAGCUUCCCUAGUUGGCACAACUGAGUUUAGGCAUUUCCAACAAAGAGAAUGGCUUUGGGAUUGGAGUUUGUUUUCCAAACUUUGAGGUUACUCUUGUGAGGGCUUGGUUGGGU
rnacentral:lncRNA from 1 species